rnacentral:rRNA from 1 species
AACGCUGGCGGCGUGCCUAAUACAUGCAAGUCGAACGAGUUCUGAUUAUUGAAAGGUGCUUGCAUCUUGAUUUUAAUUUUGAACGAGUGGCGGACGGGUGAGUAACACGUGGGUAACCUGCCCUUAAGUGGGGGAUAACAUUUGGAAACAGAUGCUAAUACCGCAUAAAUCCAAGAACCGCAUGGUUCUUGGCUGAAAGAUGGCGUAAGCUAUCGCUUUUGGAUGGACCCGCGGCGUAUUAGCUAGUUGGUGAGGUAACGGCUCACCAAGGCAAUGAUACGUAGCCGAACUGAGAGGUUGAUCGGCCACAUUGGGACUGAGACACGGCCCAAACUCCUACGGGAGGCAGCAGUAGGGAAUCUUCCACAAUGGACGCAAGUCUGAUGGAGCAACGCCGCGUGAGUGAAGAAGGCUUUCGGGUCGUAAAACUCUGUUGUUGGAGAAGAAUGGUCGGCAGAGUAACUGUUGUCGGCGUGACGGUAUCCAACCAGAAAGCCACGGCUAACUACGUGCCAGCAGCCGCGGUAAUACGUAGGUGGCAAGCGUUAUCCGGAUUUAUUGGGCGUAAAGCGAGCGCAGGCGGUUUUUUAAGUCUGAUGUGAAAGCCCUCGGCUUAACCGAGGAAGUGCAUCGGAAACUGGGAAACUUGAGUGCAGAAGAGGACAGUGGAACUCCAUGUGUAGCGGUGAAAUGCGUAGAUAUAUGGAAGAACACCAGUGGCGAAGGCGGCUGUCUGGUCUGUAACUGACGCUGAGGCUCGAAAGCAUGGGUAGCGAACAGGAUUAGAUACCCUGGUAGUCCAUGCCGUAAACGAUGAAUGCUAGGUGUUGGAGGGUUUCCGCCCUUCAGUGCCGCAGCUAACGCAUUAAGCAUUCCGCCUGGGGAGUACGACCGCAAGGUUGAAACUCAAAGGAAUUGACGGGGGCCCGCACAAGCGGUGGAGCAUGUGGUUUAAUUCGAAGCAACGCGAAGAACCUUACCAGGUCUUGACAUCUUUUGAUCACCUGAGAGAUCAGGUUUCCCCUUCGGGGGCAAAAUGACAGGUGGUGCAUGGUUGUCGUCAGCUCGUGUCGUGAGAUGUUGGGUUAAGUCCCGCAACGAGCGCAACCCUUAUGACUAGUUGCCAGCAUUUAGUUGGGCACUCUAGUAAGACUGCCGGUGACAAACCGGAGGAAGGUGGGGAUGACGUCAAAUCAUCAUGCCCCUUAUGACCUGGGCUACACACGUGCUACAAUGGAUGGUACAACGAGUUGCGAGACCGCGAGGUCAAGCUAAUCUCUUAAAGCCAUUCUCAGUUCGGACUGUAGGCUGCAACUCGCCUACACGAAGUCGGAAUCGCUAGUAAUCGCGGAUCAGCACGCCGCGGUGAAUACGUUCCCGGGCCUUGUACACACCGCCCGUCACACCAUGAGAGUUUGUAACACCCGAAGCCGGUGGCGUAACCCUUUUAGGGAGCGAGCCGUCUAAGGUGGGACAAAUGAUUAGGGUGAA